UCCAACGGAGGAUGUACGGUGAAGAGAUUUCGGUCAAUCAUGUGCAUCUUUAGUGGCGGACGGGUGAGUAACGCGUGGGUAACCUGCCUUACACAGGGGGAUAACACUCACAAAUAUGUGCUAAUACCGCAUGAGCGCACAGGACCGCAUGGUCGAGUGUGAAAAACUGAGGUGGUGUAAGAUGGACCCGCGUCUGAUUACCUAGUUGGUGAGGUAACGGCCCACCAAGGCGACGAUCAGUAGCCGGCCCGAGAGGGUGGACGGCCACAUUGGGACUGAGACACGGCCCAAACUCCUACGGGAGGCAGCAGUGGGGGAUAUUCGACAAUGGGGGGAACCCUGAUCCAGCGACGCCGCGUGAGUGAAGAAGUAUCUCGGUACCCCAAGCUCUAUCAGCAGGGAAGAAAGAAAUG
rnacentral:rRNA from 1 species